rnacentral:rRNA from 1 species
UACGUAGGGGGCUAGCGUUGUCCGGAUUUAUUGGGCGUAAAGAGCGUGUAGGCGGCCAGGUAGGUCUGCUGUGAAAACUCGAGGCUUAACCUCGAGCUGUCGGCGGAAACCAUCUGGCUAGAGUCCGGAAGAGGAGAAUGGAAUUCCCGGUGUAGCGGUGAAAUGCGCAGAUAUCAGGAAGAACACCUAUGGCGAAGGCAGCUCUCUGGGACGGUACUGACGCUGAGACGCGAAAGCGUGGGGAGCGAACAGG